CUGGGUCGCUCGGGUCGGCUUCGGUCGCUGUCGCUCCCGCUCUCCCACCCCCGCCAACCGCCGCUUGGGCCGCCGCCGCUCGGGCCUCCGCCGCUGACGCGUCGCUUCCUCGACCUCUUUGUCGCACAUCCUUCCCAAUGCAGCGCCGGGACGACCCCGCCGCGCGCAUGAGCCGGUCCUCGGGCCGCAGCGGCUCCAUGGACCCCUCAGGUGCCCACCCCUCCGUGCGUCAGGCGCCCCCUCGGCAGCCGCCGCUGCCUCAUCGGUCCCGGGGAGGUGGAGGAGGGUCUCGCGGGGGCGCCCGGGCCUCGCCCGCCACGCAGCCGCCACCGCUGCUGCCGCCCUCGGCCACCGGUCCCGACGCGACAGUGGGCGGUCCAGCGCCGACCCCGCUGCUGCCCCCCUCAGCCACUGCCUCCGUCAAGAUGGAGCCCGAGAACAAGUAUCUGCCCGAACUCAUGGCCGAGAAGGACUCGCUCGACCCGUCCUUCACUCACGCCAUGCAGUUGCUGACGGCAGAAAUUGAGAAGAUUCAGAAAGGGGAUUCAAAAAAGGACGAUGAGGAGAAUUACUUGGAUUUAUUUUCUCACAAGAACAUGAAGCUGAAGGAGAGGGUUCUGAUACCUGUCAAGCAGUAUCCCAAGUUCAAUUUUGUGGGAAAGAUCCUUGGACCACAAGGAAAUACAAUCAAAAGACUGCAAGAGGAGACUGGUGCAAAGAUUUCUGUGUUGGGAAAGGGCUCGAUGAGAGACAAAGCCAAGGAGGAAGAGUUGCGCAAAGGUGGAGACCCCAAAUAUGCCCACUUGAAUAUGGAUCUGCAUGUCUUCAUUGAAGUCUUUGGACCCCCAUGUGAGGCUUAUGCUCUUAUGGCCCAUGCUAUGGAGGAAGUCAAGAAGUUUCUAGUACCAGAUAUGAUGGAUGAUAUCUGCCAGGAGCAAUUUCUAGAGCUUUCCUACUUGAAUGGAGUACCAGAGCCCUCCCGUGGACGUGGGGUGCCAGUGCGAGGCCGGGGAGCUGCACCUCCUCCUCCACCUGUUCCCAGGGGCCGUGGCGUUGGGCCACCUCGGGGGGCUUUAGUGCGUGGUACACCAGUGAGAGGAGCCAUCACCAGAGGUGCCACUGUGACUCGAGGAGUGCCACCCCCGCCUACUGUGAGAGGUGCUCCAGCUCCAAGAGCACGGACAGCAGGCAUCCAGAGAAUACCUUUGCCUCCACCGCCUGCGCCAGAGACAUAUGAGGAAUAUGGAUAUGAUGAUACAUACGCAGAACAGAGUUAUGAAGGCUACGAAGGCUAUUACAGCCAGAGCCAAGGGGACUCAGAAUAUUAUGACUAUGGACAUGGGGAGGUUCAAGAUUCUUAUGAAGCAUAUGGCCAAGAUGACUGGAAUGGGACCAGGCCGUCACUGAAGGCCCCUCCAGCUAGGCCGGUGAAGGGAGCAUACAGAGAGCACCCAUAUGGACGUUAUUAAAAACAAACAUGAGGGGAAAAUAUCAGUUAUGAGCAAAGUUGUUACUGAUUUCUUGUAUCUCCCAGGAUUCCUGUUGCUUUACCCACAACAGACAAGUGGUUGAAAAGUCCUGAGGCAUUUCCUGGAGUAGAAUGGGUAGUGAAGAUCCUUGUCAGGUACAAAAUGAGUGCUCCCAAUCUCUCAGGCGCUCUGGGGUUGGAAUGUAGGAAGCAAACUCUGCAUCUGCCUUUGAAAAAGAGAAAUACCUGGUGUUCAGAUACGAUUCUUCAUAAGCUUCUCUCAGAGGUCAGUAUAAAUGAUGCCUCUCAUUCUUUUUUUUAAUACAUUCACUGUUAUAAACUGGAACACCUACUAUGUGUCAGGCACUGGAGAGUCAGUGGUGAGUGAGUAAGUAACAUAAAACUAGUCCCUGACCUUGUGAAGCUUAUAGUAUAUCUGGGGACACAGACACUAAACGUAUUAAUCUCUUAAAUAGCAUAAAAUCACCUAAGUUGUGAUAAGUGCUAUGAAAGAAAAGAAUGGGUACUGUGAGGACAUAAACAGGGGCUAACCUAGCUCUGAGAUUUUCCUUGAGGAAAUAAUGUUUAAGCUGACAUCUAGAGGCAGAGUUAACUAGACACAGAGCUUGGGAGAUGGUCUAGUUAACAUGAAACAUACUCUAGGCAGGGGGUAGGGCUGAGGCAGCGUCAAGGCAAGGUAGAAAUCUGGACCUUACGCUGUGGUCAUCACUGAAGACUGUUGAAUUCAGUAGUCAGAGGUAAGAGGUGGCACAAUUAGAUUUCUACUUUUUAAACUUCAUUCGCUCCUGAGUGGAGAAUGGGUAAUGGAGACCUACAAGGAAAGAAUUGAGGCAGACCUACACUAGGGUGACAGCAGUAAAAGUGUUGAAAAAUGAAUGGAUUCAAGAACUUUGAAGAGAGAGAAUGAACAUAAUUUGAUGAUUGAUUAGGUGUGGGAGAAAGGGGACAUACUAAUGAGGGGCCCCAAGUUACUGGCUUGAACAACUGGGGGAUGGUAGUGCCAUUUUUUUUUUUAAGAUGAGGAGCACAGUUACAUUCUUUGGCAUGAGAUUAGGGCCCUGGCCUGUGCCCCAGACUUAGAAUGUCUCGCCUAUCCAAUUCUCUAGGGGAUAACGCUGAGAAUCAGGGGCUGGUGAGAACCAGAAAAAGUGGACCCUUGAGCCUAGGAUUGAGAAACUAAUAAUAGCUAUGAGAAGAUGCCUGUUCCCUUCCAAAGGAUUUAAAACUUUCUGUUAAUCUUUAUCUUUUUCACAUCUCUGAGAGUAGAAAUUAUUUUCUUCUUUAUAUGGCUAGAGGUUCCAGUGCUUGUGUAGUUAACGGCCCUGAAGGUCUAGUUGCUUCUGUCCCAGAUCACUCAGCUCAGGCAUGGCCAAGGAUGGGAAGUGUGAGGCUCCAUUUUCAUUGCCUGACUGACAGCAAAAAGAGAGUUCAUAGACUGUGGACUUCUUUUUCUACCCAUCUGUGUACCUAAAACCUUGUCCAGGAUGCAACGAACUGGGGUUGUGCUGUAGGGUGGGGAGAGUGUAAGGGAGGCAGAGUGGUCAAAUGGGAGCCUGGGAAUCCCCCCAGGAUGGCAGCUUCAUGCUUCUUAAUUUUUUUGCCUAUGUCUUUGCAGCGAUCAGAGGACUCCGGAAACCAGGAGAGCUGCCUACUGUGUCAAGGCUGGCCUGAGGGCAUUUACUGAGCACAGAGAAACCCAGCAGAGGAGAACAACAGUCUUUUCCCACCUACCUCUUGAUCUGUCUGAUUUACCCACAGAAAGCCAGCCAGAGUUCCUUAAGAGUCUCUAGGCCCAGAAUGGAGUCCUUAGGGCAACAGGGGAUUGUGAUGCUAACAAUUAAACCUGCUCAGAACUUAAAGAUUGAAGGGGACUAACAGUAUCCUCAGCAUGGCCUCCUAGAUGUGAAUAAACUGGCAACUCCAAUUGUGUCAUUC